CGUUUAAACCUGCAGGACUAGUCCCUUUNGUAGGGAUGAUGAAGUUGGUAGACAGUGGCGAACGGGUGAGUAACGCGUGGGUAAUCUACCCUGUAAGUGGGGGAUAACCCUCCGAAAGGAGGGCUAAUACCGCAUAAUAUCUUUACUUCUCAAGAAGCAAAGAUUAAAGAUGGCCUCUAUACUAUGCUAUCACUUCAGGAUGANCCCGCGUCCUAUUAGUUAGUUGGUGGGGUAAUGGCCUACCAAGACCACAAUGGGUAGCCGGUCUGAGAGGAUGUACGGCCACACUGGGACUGANAUACGGCCCANACUCCUACGGGAGGCANCANUGGGGAAUAUUGCNCAAUGGGGGAAACCCUGACCACGACNCCCNUGGAUGAUGAAGCCUUUGGGUUGNAAAAUCUGUUUGGGGGAA
rnacentral:rRNA from 1 species